AGUAGAGAUGGGGUUUCACCAUAUUGGCCAGGCUAGUCUCAAACUCCUGACCUUGUGAUCCACCCACCUCAGUCUCCUAAAGUGCUGGGAUUACAGGUGUGAGCCACCCUGCCCAGCACAGCUUUUCAUACUUCUUUAGGACACUCUUGACAGGCGUAUGUGCCUCAGCCUAUUUGACUUCUGCAGAUAGGACAAUAUUUUUAUGAGUCUGAUUCGACAUUAGAGCCUCCGUCAGACUAUUUAGAAUACAAAAGAAUGUUUAAAUGGAUAGUGAAUAGGUAUGUGUGUGUGAUGAGGACUUUGUGAAUUGUGCAUUGAAAUGGUUUUGAAAUGGUUUUCUGCGUGAUCAGUUUAGGUGGAGCCAAAACUAAUAACUCCAAGAGACACACUGAAUUUGCUCAUGUUUAUCAUAUACCCAAAUGAACCACAAUUGUCUUUGAUUCCUUCAUCCUUGAAAUUUCUACUAUAAGUACUUCACUGUUUUUCACUUAUUUCUAUUUAGCGGCAUUUUAACUAGUUCUUUGCCUCUAGCUGUUUUGAACUAACAAUUUCAUUUUCUAUAUAGUAUAUAUUACUUUUUUAAUCUUCCCAAAGCACUGUUUUUUUCCUAGAGUGUAACAUUUAAAUUGCUUACUUUGAUACCUUGUGAUUUUGUCCCAACAUUUUCUAUGUUGAUUUUUUUUCAGAUGAACUAACUAGUCCUAAUCCAUUAGUUUUUCUUUCUCUUUGCCUUUAUGCCAUUUCUUCACUACAGUUCUCCCCCAACUAAUGCCUGUAUAUUUUUGUUAAUGAGGCAAAAUUUCUCAUGUGUACUGUUUAUUGACCUUAACAGUCUGACAUUAACCAUCCUUCCCAUGGCAUGAACAUAUUAUACCUGUAGUUCUUAACCUUUUUCUCUACCUUCACACACCUGAGGUACAUAACACUUCUUUCAUUGUUUCUCAUUUACUCAUGUGGGUUAACCUUUUAAAUGUAUUAGCAAUAUGAAAAAAAAUUUUCUAAUUUAAGAAGCUUCUGAAUAGUAGCCUAAACAUCAGGUCCCAAGGUUCAGAUAUUAAUUUUAUGCUGACAUGUUAUACAGUUGACUUUUUAAAUUCUUCAAAUAGUUAUGUAUCAACCAGUUACAAUAUAUCCUUAAGAUUUAUUAACAUUAAAAGAAUAAUUAUUUCAGUUUUCCAAUAUUGUAAAAGCAAUUAACAAAUACACUUUUUAAAGAAGUAAUCUAUGUCUUUGUGAUGGUAUUGUUUAUUAAGCAUUCAAUAAUAAAGGGCUGAUUAAAUAACAUGUUUAGUAGGAUACUGUGCAGCUAUUUAAAAUAGCAAUUGAAUAAUGAGCUAAAAAGUUGUUUAAGUAAAAGAUUAUCAAAUAGUUUGAAUAGAUUCACUAGAAUAAUAACAUACUAAAUUGUUUUACUGGUCUACUCUGGGUAAGAGAUAAAUCUUAUUGGGGUGGGAGGGAUCUUCUUGAUUAUAAAUAAGCAUGUAUGAUUUUUGUGAUGGGCAGAGUUUGUUUUUUGAAAAGGAGAGAGAAAUCCUUGAAAAAUAAAAGUAUUUAUUUGAAGCAACCUUACCUCCACAUAAUGAUUUACUUUGGAAAUCUAUAAAAGGGAAUCCUGUGUUCGGGAACUUUAGACAAGAUAAUGAAGAAUUAACUGUCAUGGAAGAAAAAUUUCAAAAUCAGAUAAGUUUAAAAUCAUCUUCAGAGGAACAGCUUGCUCUAAAUUCUCAAAGCAAUAUUGAAAAGGAAUUCAAGAAUUCCUUCUUGAGUUCAUGGUUGAGAGAUUUCACUGUCAUUUCCCCACUCUUCAAGCCCUUAAAACCUCAAACACAGGUACCCUCAUUUCUAAUCAAAGAAAACAAGGGUAUUCAGAUUGCCUGCAGCCCUUCAAGAGCCAUGGUGUAAAUUUUGAUAUCACCAUUGCCACCCUCCUCUCAAAAAAGGUGAGAACUGACUAAACGACUGGUACUUAGACCAUGUGGAGAAGGCACUGAAACUGGAAACA